rnacentral:rRNA from 1 species
AGAGUUUGAUCCUGGCUCAGAACGAACGCUGGCGGCGUGUUUAAGACAUGCAAGUCGCACGGGAUUGAUUGAGUAGUAAUACAAGAUCAGUCUAGUGGCGCACGGGUGAGUAACAUGUGAAUUACAUGCCCUAUAGUGGGGAAUAGCCCAGGGAAACUUGGAUUAAUACCCCAUGGUCUCGCAAGAGUAAAGGUGGCCGCAAGGCUGUCGCUAUAGGAUUGGUUCGCACCCUAUCAGCUUGUUGGUGAGGUAAUGGCUCACCAAGGCUACGACGGGUACCUGGUCUGAGAGGACGAUCAGGCACACUGGAACUGAGACACGGUCCAGACACCUACGGGUGGCAGCAGUCGAGAAUAAUUCACAAUGGGGGCAACCCUGAUGGUGCAACGCCGCGUGGAGGAUGAAGGUCUUCGGAUUGUAAACUCCUGUCAUCUGGGAGUAAGACCUGGCGAUGAAUAGUCGACAGGGUUGAUAGUACCAGAAGAGGAAGGGACGGCUAACUUCGUGCCAGCAGCCGCGGUAAUACGAAGGUCCCAAGCGUUGUUCGGAAUCACUGGGCGUAAAGGGAGCGUAGGCGGCGUGGUAAGUCAGAUGUGAAAUCCCGGGGCUCAACCCCGGAACUGCAUCCGAUACUGCCAUGCUAGAGGAUUGGAGAGGUAGCUGGAAUUCUUGGUGUAGCAGUGAAAUGCGUAGAGAUCAAGAGGAACACUCGUGGCGAAAGCGAGCUACUGGACAAUUCCUGACGCUGAGGCUCGAACGCUAGGGUAGCGAAAGGGAUUAGAUACCCCUGUAGUCCUAGC